rnacentral:rRNA from 1 species
AGGAAUAUUGGUCAAUGGACGAGAGUCUGAACCAGCCAAGUAGCGUGAAGGAUGACUGCCCUAUGGGUUGUAAACUUCUUUUAUACGGGAAUAAAGUGAGGCACGUGUGCCUUUUUGUAUGUACCGUAUGAAUAAGGAUCGGCUAACUCCGUGCCAGCAGCCGCGGUAAUACGGAGGAUCCGAGCGUUAUCCGGAUUUAUUGGGUUUAAAGGGAGCGUAGGCGGACGCUUAAGUCAGUUGUGAAAGUUUGCGGCUCAACCGUAAAAUUGCAGUUGAUACUGGGUGUCUUGAGUACAGUAGAGGCAGGCGGAAUUCGUGGUGUAGCGGUGAAAUGCUUAGAUAUCACGAAGAACUCCGAUUGCGAAGGCAGCUUGCUGGACUGUAACUGACGCUGAUGCUCGAAAGUGUGGGUAUCAAACAGGAUUAGAUACCCUGGUAGUCCACACAGUAAACGAUGAAUACUCGCUGUUUGCGAUAUACAGUAAGCGGCCAAGCGAAAGCGUUAAGUAUUCCACCUGGGGAGUACGCCGGCAACGGUGAAACUCAAAGGAAUUGACGGGGGCCCGCACAAGCGGAGGAACAUGUGGUUUAAUUCGAUGAUACGCGAGGAACCUUACCCGGGCUUGAAUUGCAACUGAAUGAUGUGGAGACAUGUCAGCCGCAAGGCAGUUGUGAAGGUGCUGCAUGGUUGUCGUCAGCUCGUGCCGUGAGGUGUCGGCUUAAGUGCCAUAACGAGCGCAACCCUUAUCGAUAGUUACCAUCAGGUUAUGCUGGGGACUCUGUCGAGACUGCCGUCGUAAGAUGUGAGGAAGGUGGGGAUGACGUCAAAUCAGCACGGCCCUUACGUCCGGGGCUACACACGUGUUACAAUGGGGGGUACAGAAGGCAGCUACACGGCGACGUGAUGCUAAUCCCUAAAGCCUCUCUCAGUUCGGAUUGGAGUCUGCAGCCCGACUCCAUGAAGCUGGAUUCGCUAGUAAUCGCGCAUCAGCCACGGCGCGGUGAAUACGUUCCCG